CGAACGGGUGAGUAACACGUGGGCAACCGUGCCCAAAANAGGGGGAUAACACUUGGAAACAGGUGCUAAUACCGCAUAACCAUAGUUACCGCAUGGUAACUAUGUAAAAGGUGGCUAUGCUACCGCUUUUGGAUGGGCCCGCGGCGCAUUAGCUAGUUGGUGGGGGUAAAGGCUUACCAAGGCAAUGAUGCGUAGCCGAACUGAGAGGUUGAUCGGCCACAUUGGGACUGAGACACGGCCCAAACUCCUACGGGAGGCAGCAG
rnacentral:rRNA from 1 species